rnacentral:lncRNA from 1 species
UUUAUAUUAUUAUAUGUCUAUUGUAUAUCAAGGCAGACGGUGGAGGGGGGGAUCAAUGACACACGCAGUAAUCUCAGGAUUACUGUUUUAACAUCACUUCAGACAAGAGGCACCAAUUUCUGGUUGAGUAUAUGGUGUUGAGUCCUCACACCUGAGAAAUGUUAAAUGAAACUGGUAACUCGAGACUCACAGACAGAACAAUUUUAACUAUAAAGGCACUGCUAACUCCAGUUUGAUCAGUAGCAUAGUCUGAAUUAUAAACUUUAUAAAAAAGAGAAUAGUCCGUUAUUGCCAAAUAGAUACUGUACAAAAAUAAUUACUUUAAAAUACAUAAUAAUGCUUACAGCUAUUGUUUGAAAUUAGUAUUCUGUUCAUGGUAUGCAUAUAGUUAACUUUAAAUUUAUUUUUAAAAUUUUAAAUAUUUUAAAUCACUGUGUUUCUUAAUUAAGCCAAAGGACACCCUCUUCUGAGCAGAGUUUCUGAGUUCUGCUUCCCUUAUGUGUCUACCUAAGCAACUUCUCAUUCAGAUACAAAUAAGACCAUUCAGAUAUUCUUGUAAUCAAUUUUUAAAAGAUUAAAUGCUAAAAAUAAAAGAUUAAACUAAAAAUCCAAAGUAGUGUUAAAUGCAAAUCCAAAACAGCAAUAAUGGAAAAUGAGAACUAGGCUUCAAAUGAGGUCUUAUUUGAAGUCACUAGGACCAUACCAGUAACUCUCUCCUACCCUCAACCACCCUCCAGGGCCACACACUUAGAGUUGAUAACAUGUUGUCUAGUUCAAGACCUAAUGGACACGAGCAAGGGCAGUCCUUCUUCAGUGUGGCUCUUCAUUUUGCUCACCAGAAAGGAUAAUCUCUUUUGCUAGGAAUGGCUAUAAAAAGCAAAAUGCUUAACAUCUUUGUUAGAGCACAGAAAAGGAAGCAGAAAAGAAAAUGAGGAAAGGGAAGACAUAGUUAUUAAAAGAGGGCAAAGUUUUGAAGGACUUAAGAGUUGUAGAGGCAAGAAAUUUUUGAGAAAGAGCAGAAAAGGGUAUGAAUGGAAACCCACUGGAGUCCUGCACUCUGGGGUGCUAGGACAGGGAUGCAGCCUCAGAUGAGUCACUAAGACUGUGGCCUCACUGUGCUGCAGUGAGGGACC